CCUACGGGACGCAGCAGUGGGGGAUAUUGCACAAUGGGCGAAAGCCUGAUGCAGCGACGCCGCGUGAGGGAAGACGGUCUUCGGAUUGUAAACCUCUGUCUUUGGGGAAGAAGAUGACGGUACCCAAAGAGGAAGCUCCGGCUAACUACGUGCCGGCAGCCGCGGUAAUACAUAGGGAGCAAGCGUUAUCCGGAUUUAUUGGGUGUAAAGGGUGCGUAGACGGGAAAUUAAGUUAGUUGUGAAAUCCCUCGGCUUAACUGAGGAACUGCAACUAAAACUGAUUUUCUUGAGUACUGGAGAGGAAA
rnacentral:rRNA from 1 species